GUCCCUGUAGGGCAAUGAAUAGCGCGUAGGACUUCUAAUUCAAAAGUCGUGGAUACGAAUCCCACCUGGGAUG
rnacentral:tRNA from 1 species